rnacentral:rRNA from 1 species
CUACGGGUCGCAGCAGUGGGGAAUCUUAGACAAUGGGCGCAAGCCUGAUCUAGCCAUGCCGCGUGAGUGAUGAAGGCCUUAGGGUCGUAAAGCUCUUUCGCUGGGGAAGAUAAUGACGGUACCCAGUAAAGAAACCCCGGCUAACUCCGUGCCAGCAGCCGCGGUAAUACGGAGGGGGUUAGCGUUGUUCGGAAUUACUGGGCGUAAAGCGCGCGUAGGCGGACUGUUAAGUCGGGGGUGAAAUCCCGGGGCUCAACCCCGGAACGGCCUUCGAUACUGGCAGUCUGGAGUUCGAGAGAGGUGAGUGGAAUUCCGAGUGUAGAGGUGAAAUUCGUAGAUAUUCGGAGGAACACCAGUGGCGAAGGCGGCUCACUGGCUCGAUACUGACGCUGAGGUGCGAAAGUGUGGGGAGCAAACAGGAUUAGAUACCCGUGUAGUC